CGUACGUCAUAGAUUUAAGAUGCCAGGUUGAACCAACAUUAGCUUAUAUCUUCUCUAACUUUCGUUCAAUUUGACAGCAUCGCACUGUUUGAAAAGCCGGAAAUGAGCCGGAACCGCGAAUUCGCGAAUCGCGGCCGUGUUUGUUUUUGGUUUGAUUCAAGCAUCAAGUGAAUCAAGUUCAAGUGCAAUUGAUAGCGUUAUGUUCAACGAUAACAAGAGAUUUAAAACUUUCUGAAGUCUCUAUAGUAUCUAGUAAUAUUAUUAAUCAUCAUUAUCAUCUUGUGCCUUGAGAUUGUCAAUUGCCUUGUGAUACUUGUAUGGUUGUUGCCGCCGUUGAAAACUUGCGUUUUUCAUUUCUUACUUUUUGAACUUUUUAUAAAAUUAACUACGCAUUACGAGAGGUCAGAACGAAGUGGUCUCAACUUUGAACUGUGAACCGUCCCAGAGGGAGAACUUUUUCUAAAAGCAGGAACAAAUCGUCGGAGAUUCCGUGAAUUCCUAACCUCCAUCAACGACUUCCCUGUAUGAACCACUAUUAUUCACUCUUUUACAAGACUGUUUUCGAUUUAUCAGUGUCGUGGGAGGCUUCAUUCCACCAUGUCCGUCGAGACAUUUACUCAAGAAUUUCAUGAUGAAAGCAGUGUUCGUAAAAUGUCCUACAGAACUCUGGGUCGGACCAAUUUGCAAGUCUCAAAACUAAGUCUUGGCGGUGGUCCUUUCGGAGGACUAUAUGAAGCCUCUGCCGAAACUGAAGGAACAGAAAUUAUAUUAUCAGCAUUAAAACUAGGCAUCAAUUAUUUGGAUACUGCCCCCCACUAUGGUCUCGGACGCUCAGAAAAAUUUUUUGGUAAAGUACUGAAGGAAGUUCCUAGAAAGGCCUUCUACAUAUCUACUAAAGUAGGUCACUACGAUAAUUAUUUUGAUUUUUCGGCUAAAUCUGUGGUGGCAAGUCUGGAGAAAAGUCUCAGUCUGCUAGGUUUGAGCUGUGUUGACAUCGUUUACAUACACGAUAUUGAAUUUGCUCCAAGUUUGGAUUACAUCAUAUCAGAAACGAUCCCAGCUUUAUUGAAAAUGAAAGAGAAAAAUAAACUGCGGUUCAUUGGAGCAUCAGCUUACCCUGUAUCUAUCCUGAAAAAUCUCUGUGAAAUCUCAGACCAGAUUGAUGUCGUUCUUUCGUACUCACGAGAUACUUUAUUUGACAGCACUCUAGAAGACUACCUGCCGUUUUUCAAGUCCAAAAAUAUUGGCGUUGUUAAUGCAAGUUGUACAGGUAUGGGACUUCUGUCAACUGUUGGCCCGCAAACAUGGCAUCCUGCAACAGAUCAUCUAAAGGAAAUUUGUCGUAAAGCUGUUGCUGAGACCUUGGCAGACAACGUUGAAUUGGGAAAAUUAGCAGUUUAUUUUUGUCUGCAAAAAUCAUACAUUAGUUCCUGUCUAGUUGGAAUGGGAUCAACUAAAAUUUUGAAACUGAAUCUUGAUGCUGCCUUCAACAAUAUAUCUGACGAGGAAAAACAAGUUUUAAAUCGUAUCAAACAAAGAGCACCUACCCUCUUGAGGAGAUAAUGAUAACUGGGCUCCAUGAAGACCAAAUGAAGCUAGAACAUUGGGGUGUCUAUGAAAAGGAGAGGACCAUUGCCGAUGUUUGACGGUUAUUGCCUUCUGCACUUGUUGUCAAUUGUGCCACACCAGAGACAGAAAGCACUGAUGGAUAAUGUCAAUAAAGGACCGGAAAAAGGCCCGCGUUGGUUGGAGGAAAAGAGCUGUCUUACAUUGAAAAUGUAAAAGUAAUAGUAUCAUGACUUCCUCUUCCUCUCAGAUGUGCUGGGGUGCCAUCCUAUCUGUAAAUCCGUCAGUUCGAUCAAGUAAAGAAACCUCUACUCAGAAGUAAAUGGGUAUGCUCCAUCAAUAAGGGUGGAAGACCUUAGUUUUAAGGACACGCUAUGAACAUGCUGAAUACAUAAUUUGCUGAAGCAGUAGCUACCUCAGGGACUGGGACUGUGGAUGUCUGUAUUUUUAAGAGUUCUUAGACCAUGAACAAAA